AGGAGUUAUAAUAGGAGCCACAAGCUUCCCAGAAGCAUUUGAUAACUGUGGAUCCAGAAAUUGUAGCUCAAGGUACUGUUGGCUUUUCUGGAGCAGAGUUGGAGAAUCUUGUGAACCAGUCUGCAUUAAAGGCAGCUCUUGAUGG